rnacentral:lncRNA from 1 species
AUUUUCAGCCUUGGGGUUUUCACCCCAGGGUCCCCAAAGUGUUUGGGGCAGAGUACAGCUCCCCUUUGAGAAAGUCGGUGCUCUGGACUGACGAAAAGGACAAAAGAGAAGCAGUUUUGAGAAGUCAAAGUGUGGGCAGAACGGUUCCUUUCUGGAGGCUUUAGGGGAGAAUCUGUUUCCUCGCUUCUCCAGCCUUUAGAGGCCACCAGCAGUCCCUGGCUCAUGGCCAUCUUCAAAGCCAGCAGUCGCGUUGCCCUGACCUCCGCCAGCAUCAACCACUUCCUUGCUGACCCUGAGCCUCCUGCCUCCCUCUCACAAGGACUCCUGCCAUGAGGUGGGACUGUGAAAGGAAAAUCUCUUGGGUCCCUUCAAGCUGGGAACUGCUCAGGGCAAAUCUCCCUCCCAUUCUAUUCAAACUCAUCCCUCUGCUCACUGAGAUAGAUGCAUAUUCUGAUUGCCUCACUUAUCAGAAACUCAAAAGAAUGCAACCGGUUGUCUCACCUACCUGUGACCUGGAAACCCCUUUCCUGCUUGGAGUUCUCCCUGUCUUUCUGGACGGAACCAGUGUACUUCUUACAUGUAUUGAUUGAUGUCUCAUGUCUCCCUAAAAUGUAUAAAACCAGGCUGUGCCCCGACUACCUUGGGCACAUGUCAUCAGGACUUCCUGAGGCUGUGUCACGGACGCGCGUCCUUAACUUUGUCAAAGAAACCUAAA